CCUACGGGGGGCAGCAGUGGAGGAUAUUGGGCAAUGGGGGCAAGCCUGACCCAGCAACGCCGCGUGAAGGAAGAAGGCUUUCGGGAUGUAAACUUCUGUUGACAGGGAAGAGAAGAAGACGGGACCUGUCGAAUAAGCCACGGCCAACUACGUGCCAGCAGCCGGGGUAAUACGUAGGGGGCAAGCGUUGUCCGGAUUUACUGGGUGUAAAGGGCGGGUAGGCGGGUUGAGAAGUCAGAUGUGAAAUCCUGCGGCUUAACCGCAGAACUGCAUUUGAAACUGUUGAUCUUGAGUACUGGAGAGGCAGGCGGAAUUCCUAGUGUAGCGGUGAAAUGCGUAGAUAUUAGGAGGAACACCAGUGGCGAAGGCGGUCUGCUGGACAGCAACUGACGGUGAGGCGCGAAAGCGUGGGGAGCAAACAGGAUUAGAUACCCGGGUAGUC
rnacentral:rRNA from 1 species